rnacentral:rRNA from 1 species
GACGAACGCUGGCGGCGUGCUUAACACAUGCAAGUCGAGCGGUAAGGCCCUCGGGUACGACGAGCGGCGAACGGGUGAGUAACACGUGGGUGACCUGCCCUUAGCUCUGGGAUAAGCCUGGGAAACUGGGUCUAAUACCGGAUAUGACCUCAUGACGCAUGUUGUGGGGUGGAAAGCCUUGUGCGGCUAGGGAUGGGCCCGCGGCCUAUCAGCUUGUUGGUGGGGUGAUGGCCACCAAGGCGACGACGGGUAGCCGGCCUGAGAGGGCGACCGGCCACACUGGGACUGAGACACGGCCCAGACUCCUACGGGAGGCAGCAGUGGGGAAUCUUGCGCAAUGGGCGAAAGCCUGACGCAGCGACGCCGCGUGAGGGAUGACGGCCU